ACGUAGGGGGCAAGCGUUGUCCGGAAUUACUGGGCGUAAAGGGCGGGUAGGCGGUUGGAAGAGUCUGGUGUGAAAUUCUCUGGCUUAACAAGGGGGCUGCGCUGGAAACUGGCUGACUGGAGUUCGGUAGGGGUCACUGGAAUCCCCGGUGUAACGGUGAAAUGUGCAGAUAUCGGGGGGAACACCUGUGGCGAAGGCGGGUAACUGGGCCGCAACUGACGCUGAGACGCGAAAGCGUGGGGAGCAAACAG
rnacentral:rRNA from 1 species